UCCAACUGCCACACACCUAAAUCACACUGUCAAUAUGAAGUUGUUGCUUGUUUUCCUAAUAUCCCUGUCACAGCUAUCAGGUGUUCACUGUGAUGUACAACUUGACCAGUCAGAGCCAGUGGUGAUAAAGCCGGGAGGGUCUCACAAACUGUCCUGCAAAGCCUCUGGCUUCACAUUCACUGAUUACUGGAUGCACUGGGUUAGACAGGCUCCUGGGAAUGGAUUACAGUGGUUAUGUCACAUUCACUCUGGAGGAACCACAUACUAUGCUGAUUCAGUUAAAGGAAGAUUCACCAUCUCCAGAGACAAUAAUAACAACAAGUUAUAUUUGCAAAUGAACAAUCUACAAACUGAAGACACUGCGAUGUAUUACUGUACUAGAGAGAGAGAAGCACAGUGA